GCACUCGAAGGUUCUGCUGCUCUGGGUGGCCUCGCUGCGGGGCACCCACCCCGGGCGACGGUUUUGGGGGUGGGGGAGGGAGCAGAACCUCUCUCUGGGGAGACAGCCCUAAUCAGCCGCUCUCAUUACAAACGCUGAUUAAACUGCAAAUUAUCCAGCAGCGGCCCUGUUCCCGUCUACCAGCAGCUCGUUCAAUAUCAAUUAAGGCCGAGCGGCAAAGCCUGCAGCCUCCGAGAGCUUCCAACUGCCUGAUAGUGGCACUUAUUAGUUUGGAAAACUAGGAAAAUACUAAUAAUCAACAACCAAGGGGAAAGAGGAGGCAACCAGACAAAAGGAAGGCAGGAACGCAGCCGGAGAAAGGAGCGAGCGCGCCGCCUGCCCGCGCCCCCGCCUCCGCCCCCGCUCCUCUGGCCCCAGCAAAGACUGUUCACGGAUGGGACUGAAUCCCUUGGAGAACUCAGGAGACAACAGAAGACCUGCAAAAAUGUGUAGAGCUGGGAGCACGAGGACGGGUCCAUGAUCCACGUGAACACGGGGAGGCAGGGAAGACUUCAUGGAGGAGGUUUAUGACUCAAGAAGAAUUCUCUGGGCCUUAAAUGGUUUACUGUAAUGGACAAGAAACUCUGUUGGAAGAAAUUUUCAAAAAAGAAGUAAAUAAUUUAAAUUUAAAAAUCUAUAUGAAUGGAUAUUUGUGAAUCAGUAUGUAGAGUAUUCUUUUAGUAAUCUAGAGACUAUAAUCUGUUGUCCAAAAAUCCUUUUCUCUUUUUUGUUGCAUUUCCUAUUACUAUCAAAAGACAAUAUAAUGACAAUUGAAAAUAUUUCUCACCUAAGGAAGAUAUCUUAUUGAAAGGAAUAAAGAUUCAUAGAUGUGAUAAAAAUAAAAUAAUCAUAAAUAUUUUGGUGAGAGUUUCACAUAGAACAGUCAUAGAUACCUCAUGAUAAACACAUAAAAAGAUUUUAUACUUAGCGUGUAAUCCAAAAACACCUUUCAGGUCUCUCUUGAUUGACCCUGAAUAAAAGUCUUACUUCAGGUGACAAAAAAAGGUCCAUUACUGUCGCUCAUGCAUUUCAACAUGAAAAUGGAAUGGAAUCAUUGACUACAGGUAGAAAUGUGCAAAACUACUCAAGAUAAAUACGCUGCUUUGAGGCUACACAUUUACUCUACUUUGUCUGCCAGCUUGAUUUUUGAAUUGGGCACUCAUGGAUAAAAGGUAUGUGAUCUGAAAAAAUAGUGUGUGUCUUUUAAAAGUCAGUGUCAUGUAAUGUCAUUCCUUUUGGCAAAAUUUAUGUUACUUGGUAU
rnacentral:lncRNA from 1 species